CAGCCGCCGCGGUAAUUCCGGCGGCCCGAGUGGCGGCCACUAUUAUUGGGCUUAAAGCGUCCGUAGCCGGGUUGGUUAGUCUCCCGGGAAAUCUGGCCGCUUAACGGUCAGAAUUCCGGGAGAUACUGCCAGCCUAGGGACCGGGAGAGGCCGAGGGUAUUCCCGGAGUAGGGGUGAAAUCCUAUAAUCCCGGGAGGACCACCUGUGGCGAAGGCGCUCGGCUGGAACGGGUCCGACGGUGAGGGACGAAGGCCAGGGGAGCAAACCGGAUUAGAUACCCGGGUAGUCCUGGCUGUAAACGAUGCGGACUUUGUGUCGGACAAGCUAUGAGCUUGUCCGGUGCCGGAGGGAAACCGUUAAGUCCGCCGCCUGGGGAGUACGGCCGCAAGGCUGAAACUUAAAGGAAUUGGCGGG
rnacentral:rRNA from 1 species